rnacentral:rRNA from 1 species
GACGAACGCUGGCGGCGUGCCUAAUACAUGCAAGUAGAACGCAGUUGCGAACGGGUAAGUAACGCGUAGGUAACUGCCUCAUAGCGGGGGAUAACUAUUGGAAACGAUAGCUAAUACCGCAUACUGUGAUAUGGACCUGCGUUGUAUUAGCUAGUUGGUGAGGUAAAGGCUCACCAAGGCGAAGAUACAUAGCCGACCUGAGAGGGUGAUCAGCCAGUCUGGGACUGAUACCCGGCCCAGACUACUCAGUGAGGCAGCAGUAGGGAAGUUUCGGAAAUGGACGGAAGUCUGACCGAGCAACGCCGCGUGAGUGAAGAAGGUUGUCGGCUCCUAAAACUCUGUGCUUAGAGAAACGGUACCUAACCAGAAAGGGACUGCUAACUCCGUGCCAGCAGCCGCGGUAAUUC